AGUGAACGCUGGCGGUAGGCCUAACACAUGCAAGUCGAACGGCAGCACAGUAAGAGCUUGCUCUUACGGGUGGCGAGUGGCGGACGGGUGAGGAAUACAUCGGAAUCUACUUUUUCGUGGGGGAUAACGUAGGGAAACUUACGCUAAUACCGCAUACGACCUACGGGUGAAAGCAGGGGAUCUUCGGACCUUGCGCGAUUGAAUGAGCCGAUGUCGGAUUAGCUAGUUGGCGGGGUAAAGGCCCACCAAGGCGACGAUCCGUAGCUGGUCUGAGAGGAUGAUCAGCCACACUGGAACUGAGACACGGUCCAGACUCCUACGGGAGGCAGCAGUGGGGAAUAUUGGACAAUGGGCGCAAGCCUGAUCCAGCCAUACCGCGUGGGUGAAGAAGGCCUUCGGGUUGUAAAGCCCUUUUGUUGGGAAAGAAAAGCAGCAGGUUAAUACCCCGCUGUUCUGACGGUACCCAAAGAAUAAGCACCGGCUAACUUCA
rnacentral:rRNA from 1 species